CCUACGGGUGGCAGCAGUCGAGAAUUUUUCUCAAUGGGGGAAACCCUGAAGGAGCGACGCCGCGUGGAGGAUGAAGGUCUUCGGAUUGUAAACUCCUGUCAUUUGGGAACUAGUACCAGAAGAGGAAGAGACGGCUAACUCUGUGCCAGCAGCCGCGGUAAUACAGAGGUCUCAAGCGUUGUUCGGAUUCAUUGGGCGUAAAGGGUGCGUAGGCGGCGGGGUAAGUCGGAUGUGAAAUCCCGGGGCUCAACCCCGGAACUGCAUUCGAUACUGCCUUGCUCGAGUACUGGAGAGGAGACUGGAAUUUACGGUGUAGCAGUGAAAUGCGUAGAUAUCGUAAGGAAGACCAGUGGCGAAGGCGAGUCUCUGGACAGUACUGACGCUGAGGCACGAAGGCCAGGGGAGCAAACGGGAUUAGAUACCCUUGUAGUC
rnacentral:rRNA from 1 species